rnacentral:rRNA from 1 species
CAGAGACUGCAAGCGUUAUUCGGAUUCACUGGGCGUAAAGGGUGCGCAGGCGGCCGUGUGUGUGAGGCGUGAAAGCCCGGGGCUUAACCCCGGAAUUGCGCCUCAAACUACAUGGCUAGAGCAUUGGAGAGGGUAGCAGAAUUCAUGGUGUAGCAGUGAAAUGCGUAGAUAUCAUGAGGAAUACCAGAGGCGAAGGCGGCUACCUGGACAAUUGCUGACGCUCAGGCACGAAAGCGUGGGGAGCAAAAGGGAUUAGAUACCCCUGUAGUCCACGCCCUAAACGGUGCACACUAGGUCUUGGCGGAUUCGACCCCACCAGGGCCCAAGCUAACGCGUUAAGUGUGCCGCCUGAGGGCUACGGCCGCAAGGCUA